rnacentral:rRNA from 1 species
UACGGGGGGGGCAAGCGUUGUUCGGAAUUACUGGGCGUAAAGGGCUCGUAGGUGGCCAACUAAGUCAGACGUGAAAUCCCUCGGCUUAACCGGGGAACUGCGUCUGAUACUGGAUGGCUUGAGUUUGGGAGAGGGAUGCGGAAUUCCAGGUGUAGCGGUGAAAUGCGUAGAUAUCUGGAGGAACACCGGUGGCGAAGGCGGCAUCCUGGACCAAUACUGACGCUGAGGAGCGAAAGCCAGGGGAGCGAACGGG